rnacentral:tRNA from 1 species
UGGCUCAGUUGUAAAGCAUGGUGCUUGCAACGCCAGGGUUGUGGGUUCGAUUCCCAU